GACGAACGCUGGCGGCGUGCCUAACACAUGCAAGUCGAACGGGGUAGUUCCUUCGGGGACUACUUAGUGGCGAACGGGUGAGUAACGCGUGAGAAACCUGCCUUUCAGUGGGGGACAACAGUUGGAAACGACUGCUAAUACCGCAUAAUGUUUCGAGAGGGCAUCCUUUUGAAACCAAAGCUUUAUGUGCUGAAAGAUGGUCUCGCGUCUGAUUAGCUAGUUGGUGAGGUAACGGCCCACCAAGGCGACGAUCAGUAGCCGGCCUGAGAGGGUGAACGGCCACAUUGGGACUGAGACACGGCCCAAACUCCUACGGGAGGCAGCAGUGGGGAAUAUUGCACAAUGGGGGAAACCCUGAUGCAGCGACGCCGCGUGAGUGAAGAAGUAUUUCGGUAUGUAAAGCUCUAUCAGCAGGGAAGAAAAUGACGGUACCUGACUAAGAAGCCCCGGNUAACUACGUG
rnacentral:rRNA from 1 species